AGAGUUUGAUCCUGGCUCAGGACGAACGCUGGCGGCGUGCCUAAUACAUGCAAGUAGAACGCUGAAGAGAGGAGCUUGCUCUUCUUGGAUGAGUUGCGAACGGGUGAGUAACGCGUAGGUAACCUGCCUUGUAGCGGGGGAUAACUAUUGGAAACGAUAGCUAAUACCGCAUAACAAUGGAUGACCCAUGUCAUUUAUUUGAAAGGGGCAAAUGCUCCACUACAAGAUGGACCUGCGUUGUAUUAGCUAGUAGGUGAGGUAACGGCUCACCUAGGCGACGAUACAUAGCCGACCUGAGAGGGUGAUCGGCCACACUGGGACUGAGACACGGCCCAGACUCCUACGGGAGGCAGCAGUAGGGAAUCUUCGGCAAUGGGGGCAACCCUGACCGAGCAACGCCGCGUGAGUGAAGAAGGUUUUCGGAUCGUAAAGCUCUGUUGUAAGUCAAGAACGAGUGUGAGAGUGGAAAGUUCACACUGUGACGGUAGCUUACCAGAAAGGGACGGCUAACUACGUGCCAGCAGCCGCGGUAAUACGUAGGUCCCGAGCGUUGUCCGGAUUUAUUGGGCGUAAAGCGAGCGCAGGCGGUUUGAUAAGUCUGAAGUUAAAGGCUGUGGCUCAACCAUAGUUCGCUUUGGAAACUGUCAAACUUGAGUGCAGAAGGGGAGAGUGGAAUUCCAUGUGUAGCGGUGAAAUGCGUAGAUAUAUGGAGGAACACCGGUGGCGAAAGCGGCUCUCUGGUCUGUAACUGACGCUGAGGCUCGAAAGCGUGGGGAGCGAACAGGAUUAGAUACCCUGGUAGUCCACGCCGUAAACGAUGAGUGCUAGGUGUUGGAUCCUUUCCGGGAUUCAGUGCCGCAGCUAACGCAUUAAGCACUCCGCCUGGGGAGUACGACCGCAAGGUUGAAACUCAAAGGAAUCGACGGGGGCCCGCACAAGCGGUGGAGCAUGUGGUUUAAUUCGAAGCAACGCGAAGAACCUUACCAGGUCUUGACAUCCCGAUGCUAUUUCUAGAGAUAGAAAGUUACUUCGGUACAUCGGUGACAGGUGGUGCAUGGUUGUCGUCAGCUCGUGUCGUGAGAUGUUGGGUUAAGUCCCGCAACGAGCGCAACCCCUAUUGUUAGUUGCCAUCAUUCAGUUGGGCACUCUAGCGAGACUGCCGGUAAUAAACCGGAGGAAGGUGGGGAUGACGUCAAAUCAUCAUGCCCCUUAUGACCUGGGCUACACACGUGCUACAAUGGUUGGUACAACGAGUUGCGAGUCGGUGACGGCAAGCUAAUCUCUUAAAGCCAAUCUCAGUUCGGAUUGUAGGCUGCAACUCGCCUACAUGAAGUCGGAAUCGCUAGUAAUCGCGGAUCAGCACGCCGCGGUGAAUACGUUCCCGGGCCUUGUACACACCGCCCGUCACACCACGAGAGUUUGUAACACCCGAAGUCGGUGAGGUAACCUUUUGGAGCCAGCCGCCUAAGGUGGGAUAGAUGAUUGGGGUGAAGUCGUAACAAGGUA
rnacentral:rRNA from 1 species